ensembl:lincRNA linc-76 ncRNA
CGCAUAACUCUGCCUCUCAUUGUCAAGCAACUCAAAUCUAAUAUGAAAAUAUUAAAUAGCAAUAUUUUUGUAGUUUGGUGAUAUUUCGAGAUAAAGUCGCAAUAUCCCGAGACUCAUUCGAAAUAUUUUUAGAUUGAGCAAUAUUUUCUUUUGAGCAGUCUUUUGAGACAAAUUAGUAAUAUUUUGAGAUAAAACGGAAGUCUUCCUAGAAAUUUUCACACUUUCGCAAUAUUUUGAGAUGAAAUUGUAAUCUUUGAGACAACAUCGAAAUCUAUUCGAAAUUUUUAGUAAUCUUAUAUGGACGCACUAUUACAAAAAUAUUGCUAUUUAAUAUUUUCAUAUUAGAUUUGAGUUGCCUGAGCUCCCUUGCGAUUCAGAGAAGUUUUUCUCGAAUUCUCCAGUAAAUUUCAGAGGAAUCCAGAAUUUUCUCAAAUUUCCAGAAGCUUCUAGAAUAUUCUGAAAUGUUCUCGAAUUUCCCAGAAGGUUAUUUAUAAAACAGUUCAGAAUUGUAAAUUUUUCUAAAAAUUGUAAUUUCCCGCCCAACAUUUUCUCAGAAAAAUUUAAUUCCCGCCAAAAAAUUUGAAUUCCCGCCAAAAAUUUUCACAGAAAAUUUGAAUUCGCGCCAAAGUUUUUCUCAGAAAAUUGAAUUCGCGACAAAAUGUUUCUCGGACAGUUUUAAGUCCCGCUAAAACUUAUGGGUCUCACCACGAUGGGUCUUGCCACGAAGGGUGACAGAGCCCGACCACAACUCUCGGUGACUUUGGGCGUGAAGUCACAGACAACAAAGACAACAUAGACUGCAAACUACGGACACACGGAAUAAACGCUUUAUCAACAGUAAAUGAUCAUUUGCUAUAUAUAAAGCGCUUAUUCCGUUUGUAGUGGUACGGUAAGAGUACUGUAGGAUUACGGAAGUUUCAGAAAACCAGUUUUCAGCCCCAGAAGUCGGGGGCCGCGCCGGAGGUGCGGUCCACGGCUGGUAUUCUAUAUUCAAAUAUUCAAAUUAGAGAUAUGAAAAAGAAAAAAAAAUAUACGAAAAAGUUGAUAAACCAAAUUUCUGAUUCAAUAACUAGAAUGGAACCAUUUCUGAGACACUAGUCCAUAUGAAAAGCUUGUGGCUCUAUGCAAUCACUCUAAUAACUAUAACACUUCUGAUGCCUGUCGUCGUUGAAAACGAAAUGAGCACAAACAUUUUUUAGGAAUACAUAAUCAGAAAUAUUUUCUUAAUCGACAGUAAAAAUUUUGUAGCAUUAAAUAUCUCAAGUUUCAACGUUUUUGAAUUCGCAAAACUGAAUGUCACCCUGAAGAGGUGAAGCCUGAGAAAGUAUCGAUUUUUUGUAGCGGAAGAAUAUGGAUUUCAAAAUUAUGUUUAAAUAUUUUAUGCGAACAAGAGAACAAAAAUAACGACAACAGUAACAAGAUAUGAAAAAAAUGGAAUUUUCCUCAAGUUUUGAGAAAAAAAGGACUGCAACUUUUCUUGAGCGAGGGACGAGAAAACGUUUCGCGGCGGAUCCGACAAGAUUUCACUUUUUUCUCGCUUAUUUUUUGUUGUUUUCAUGCGUGUUUUUUGCUGUUCUUCUUCAUUUUUAAAAUUUUUAAAAUUUUAAAAAUUUUAAAAUAACAUUAAAAAAUUUUUUCUCGAUUUUUUUGACAUAAUAUUUGAAAACAAACUUUUUUCUCAGAUAUUUCACAAGAAUCAGGAUAAAUUGCUGUCUCCAACGAAUUUUAUGGAGGACUUAAAAGACCCGUCUUCACUGAAGCCAUACCUGCCCGGAUCAUCGGGUUCAAGCGUCGGAUUCGAGAGGGAUUCAAGAUUCAAGGACUCAUCGAAAAAUUUGAAUUUUUUAUACCCUUCGUUUUUCUUUUUUUAAACUUUUAUAUAUUUAUUUAAUAAAUAAUCAUGGAU